rnacentral:rRNA from 1 species
GCUGGCGGCGUGCCUAAUACAUGCAAGUCGAACGCCUUCUUUUCCCACCGGAGCUUGCUCCACCGGGAAAAGAGGAGUGGCGAACGGGUGAGUAACACGUGGGUAACCUGCCCAUCAGAAGGGGAUAACACUUGGAAACAGGUGCUAAUACCGUAUAACAAUCGAAACCGCAUGGUUUCGUUUUGAAAGGCGCUUUACGGUGCCGCUGAUGGAUGGACCCGCGGUGCAUUAGCUAGUUGGUGAGGUAACGGCUCACCAAGGCCACGAUGCAUAGCCGACCUGAGAGGGUGAUCGGCCACAUUGGGACUGAGACACGGCCCAAACUCCUACGGGAGGCAGCAGUAGGGAAUCUUCGGCAAUGGACGAAAGUCUGACCGAGCAACGCCGCGUGAGUGAAGAAGGUUUUCGGAUCGUAAAACUCUGUUGUUAGAGAAGAACAAGGGUGAGAGUAACUGUUCACCCCUUGACGGUAUCUAACCAGAAAGCCACGGCUAACUACGUGCCAGCAGCCGCGGUAAUACGUAGGUGGCAAGCGUUGUCCGGAUUUAUUGGGCGUAAAGCGAGCGCAGGCGGUUUCUUAAGUCUGAUGUGAAAGCCCCCGGCUCAACCGGGGAGGGUCAUUGGAAACUGGGAGACUUGAGUGCAGAAGAGGAGAGUGGAAUUCCAUGUGUAGCGGUGAAAUGCGUAGAUAUAUGGAGGAACACCAGUGGCGAAGGCGGCUCUCUGGUCUGUAACUGACGCUGAGGCUCGAAAGCGUGGGAGCAAACAGGAUUAGAUACCCUGGUAGUCCACGCCGUAAACGAUGAGUGCUAAGUGUUGGAGGGUUUCCGCCCUUCAGUGCUGCAGCUAACGCAUUAAGCACUCCGCCUGGGGAGUACGACCGCAAGGUUGAAACUCAAAGGAAUUGACGGGGGCCCGCACAAGCGGUGGAGCAUGUGGUUUAAUUCGAAGCAACGCGAAGAACCUUACCAGGUCUUGACAUCCUUUGACCACUCUAGAGAUAGAGCUUCCCCUUCGGGGGCAAAGUGACAGGUGGUGCAUGGUUGUCGUCAGCUCGUGUCGUGAGAUGUUGGGUUAAGUCCCGCAACGAGCGCAACCCUUAUUGUUAGUUGCCAUCAUUUAGUUGGGCACUCUAGCAAGACUGCCGGUGACAAACCGGAGGAAGGUGGGGAUGACGUCAAAUCAUCAUGCCCCUUAUGACCUGGGCUACACACGUGCUACAAUGGGAAGUACAACGAGUCGCGAAGUCGCGAGGCUAAGCUAAUCUCUUAAAGCUUCUCUCAGUUCGGAUUGUAGGCUGCAACUCGCCUACAUGAAGCCGGAAUCGCUAGUAAUCGCGGAUCAGCACGCCGCGGUGAAUACGUUCCCGGGCCUUGUACACACCGCCCGUCACACCACGAGAGUUUGUAACACCCGAAGUCGGUGAGGUAACCUUUUUGGAGCCAG